CUGUAGGCUAAGGGGUGCCACGACAUUUCGUGGCUGAGAAUAGACCCUCUGACCUGAUCCGGGCAAUGCCGGCGUAGGGAUAAGGACAUGAAAAGUG
rnacentral:ncRNA from 2 species